GACGUAGGGCGCGAGCGUUGUCCGGAUUUAUUGGGCGUAAAGAGCUCGUAGGCGGCUUGUUGCGUCGACUGUGAAAACCCGCGGCUUAACUGCGGGCUUGCAGUUGAUACGGGCAGGCUAGAGUUCGGUAGGGGAGACUGGAAUUCCUGGUGUAGCGGUGAAAUGCGUAGAUAUCGAGAGGAACACCUGCGGCGAAGGCGGGUUGCUGGGCUGAUACUGACGCUGAGGCGCGAAAGCCAGGGGAGCGAACGGG
rnacentral:rRNA from 1 species